AUGCUCUCUUCGGCAGCAGAUUACUCAAAUUGGAACAAGACAGAGAAGAUUAGCAUGGUCCCUGUUCAAGGAUGACACAUAAAUUUGAGAAGCUUCGGUAUUUUUG
rnacentral:snRNA from 1 species